AUCAAAAACAUUGCUUCAAUUUCACCAUUAAUAAGUGUAGUGCUUAUGUGCUUAUAACAAUUAUAAUGGGCUAUUUUGUAACUGUGUGGUAUUAGGUUAUUACAUGUUGUGCAAAUGGACUACACGGCAAUGACCAAGGUAACAAAAACUUUUUUUGUUUUUGGCUCCUGAAACAUUCUGGGAACAGAACGGUUUCUUUAUGGAAAUAUAAAGCUUGCUUGAAAUAUAAAGUUUUGUUGCUUAUUAGAGUUCAGAGAACGUUCCGCAUUCAUUCAUAUAACUUUGGUUAUUUUUUGGGAACUACUACAUAAUAUCUUGGGAACGUUCUGUUUUGUUUAGCAAAGUCAAUGCUGUUCCCCAAAUGUUCUGGGAACAUUAAAACACAAUAUUCGGUUAUGGUUAUGUGACAACUGACGAAGAAUGUUCACCACAGCACGCUGUUCAAUACUGUUUUCUGUAAUCACUAAUGUUCCAGAAACAUUCCCAUAACAUUCUCUUAUGGGAAGUUUUCAAAGUUUGCCAAAGGUUGCUUUUAGCCUGCUGAAAAAAAACAAUACCGUCCGACGUUCCCGCCAGAAUUUCAUGUAUCAACAUAAAGUUCUUCUUCGUUAUGGUACCAUAUACAGUUUUAGGUGUUUUUAUUUUUAAUUUUUAGGGAAGCUGGAAGUGCAGUUAAUUAUUUGUCAUGCUAUACAUGCAAAUAGACAACUGCUUGAAGCCGUGGGCUGCGUCCCAAACUGCAUACUCACCUACUAUAUAGUAGGUGAAAUACAUGUAUCUCGGCUACUAUACAAUAGGUAAGUACGCGGUUUGGGACGCAGCCGUGCUCUCUUGUUUGCUGUCAAACGGUUGACCACUGCCAUGUGUGAUCGUGUCCUGUAGCAAAAUGCAGUGAAAACUCCCACACGGUGUUAAAAGUGUGAUUGAGGUGUUUAUAUGUCUGUAAUACACGUCGAUAAUGCGACUAAAACAGGAAUACUCCACAUGUCUUAAUUCGAUUUGUGUUUACUUCGAGUAUGGCUUUCAUCAGAUUAAGGUAAUAAAAAAUCACUGUUUACAUGGUAGUUUCUUAAUCUGAGUAUUGUCUUAAUCGGGUUAAUACUGGAUUAUUGUUGUCCAUGUAAACGCACUGAGUGAAUGUGUAUGUGUUUGUGCCCUGCGAUGGAUUGGCACCCCAUCCAGGGUUUACCCUGCCUUGUGUCCGAUGCUAACUGGGAUAGGCUCUAGGCUCCCCACGACCCUGUAGGAUAAGCGGUAUAGAAGAUGGAUGGAUGGAUGGAAAUGGCAGUGUUCCUUUAAACUACUUACGUAUUUCAUGUUUUGAUAAAAAUCUAAUUCUUAAUUUAGCAUUUACUUAAUUAGGCAUUAAAACCAAUACAAUUCCCAUUAUAAACAUAUUAUAUGAUAGACAAAUUCUAUGAGGGUUUCUACUGGAGUUUUUUUUUUUCAGCAUAGUAGCUUUUAUUUUCUGUAUAAAGACCGACCAUUAAAUUACAUAUUACAAAAUAUAGGCCAGUUUUAAAUAUUUUGCCAAGCUAUAGGAUUGUGUACUUUGCAAAGCCAACAAUGAAUAAAAAUAAAAUAACCGGUAAACGGGUAAAGCAGUGGUUAUAGGAAAAGAGCUGACAUUGUAACCCAAAACACAAUGUUCCCACAACGAUAUUAAUUGGUUACAAAAAAAAAAGAAGAAAAAAAAGAAAAAGAAAAAGAAAAAAAAAACCCCAAGCCACAGGGAAACCAAAGAGAAACGUUCAGUGUUUGCUGAGACCGUGGUGUAAAUAUUGGCACACGUGAACCGGUUGUAGUCCCUGUUCCUGCUAUUAGAAAAGAAUACAUCUGAUUGGUCAGACCCGCGUCAGUAAACAGAAAGUAAACACCUGAUUGGUCACUGUAAGUGUCAGUCAGCACGAGCUCUUCCUUGUAUUGCUCUUUCCUUCAGCGUUCACUACAAACCCGAACACAAUAAAGAACCUCUUCCAUCUUCACUUCCUCACACAGGAAUCACGACCUUAAGAGUUUAUGGAGUGCACCGUUUCUCGGAUGCCUUCAAUUUAUAAAUUUAACACAGUAAAUGUUACAGUGAUUGACCGUGACAUAACUGCGGCUGUAUGCGACUGACAGACUGGUCAAUAUUUCAGUUUAUACGACCCUUACGGAUUUAAACACGUUUAUACUGCAUGCAUCUACACACAAAGUACUACAUAGUAAUGUUCUUACCGGUGCUGGACGAUGCUGGCCUGAGAGAACCUCUGCUCAAGACAAGAGGAGGUGAAGCGCGGAUGCAGCGCGCCACCCAGUGGGGUUUUGCCUGAACACAGCCAGCGCGCGCUGUGCGGAAGUACGUCACGUGUAACGGUGGUGGAGCGCAGCACCAAACACUCAUGUCAGGACACACCGGCUGUGAUGCACUUUUAAAAGAAUUUUGUACACCUGAAGAAAAUUUGUGUGGCUGUAUGUGACGACCUGGAUCUCCAUACAGCAUGCCAAUACUCCAUGUGUUCCCAGUUUGGUCUGGAGAAGCUGGACUGAGGGCUCUUAGGGCCGUGCUCCAGG